UCUUCCGAUCUCUUUUUGUGAAAUUCCGGGCUGGGGAAUGGACCUUGUAGCAUUCCCUCUACAGUAGGCUAAAGAAAUUCUUUCACCUGUUAAUUGAAGCGCUUAUUCGAAAAACGAUAUAUGUUACAUUUUUUCAAAAUUGUAGUUAUCGAUGUGAAAAAAAUGUAAGGAUUAUUCUCUCAGUCACACGUAUAAAAAAAAUAUCAAAAUACGCCGAGGCGAUCGAGGGCUACAGUUUGCGACGAAUGUCGUAUGCAAAUUACCUUUCAGUGGAAGAAUGCUGAAUGACUCACUGAAAAUGGCGAACAUCAAUACGCUCUUAUCCCCAGCGGCCUAAAAUCACGGAAUAAGAAGUUAAAAAGGAAAGUAAGCGUCAGUGAAUGGAAAGAUGUAAAGAGAAAGCGAUUGAGGAAUGCUGGCGAAGCCCAUUCGACCAAGAAAGGCAAGGAAAUUCCGGAGAAACCUCCCCACGAAAGGAAAGAUCAUGCGAACCAGAAAAAUGCAAGAAAACCGGAUAUGGUGAAAUCAUAUUGGCCCAGAGAGUACAUCUCUUCCAGGAAUAUCACAAGUUGUCUUACGAUGAGCAGU
rnacentral:lncRNA from 1 species